rnacentral:lncRNA from 1 species
UUGCCUCCUUAUGUUGGCCUUACCAUUUAUUAUCCUUUGUAGUGCUGGAUUUGUAGGAAGAUAUUGUGUAAAUUUGUUUUUGUCAUGGAAUAUCUUGGUUUCUCCAUCUAUGUUAAUUGAGAGUUUUGCUGGAUACAGUAAACUGGGCUGGCAUUUGUGUUCUUUUAGGGUCUGUAUGACAUCUGUCCAGGAUCUUCUGGCCUUCAUAGUUUCUGGCAAAAAGUCUGGUGUGAUUCCGAUAGGUCUGCCUUUAUAUGUUAUUUGACCUUUUUCCCUUACUUCUUUUAAUAUUCUUUCUUUAUUUUGUUCGUUUGGUGUUUUGACUAUUAUGUGACGGGAGGUGUUUCUUUUCUGGUCCAAUCUAUUUGGAGUUCUGUAGGCUUCUUGUAUGCCUAUGGGUAUCUCUUUUUUUAGGUUAGGGAAGUUUUCUUCUAUGAUUUUGUUGAAGAUAUUUACUGGUCCUUUGAGCUGGGAGUCUUCACUCUCUUCUAUACCUAUUAUCCUUAGGUUUGAUCUUCUCAUUGAGUCCUGGAUUUCCUGUAUGUUUUGGACCAGUAGCUUUUUCCACUUUACAUUAUCUUUGACAGUUGAGUCAAUGAUUUCUAUGGAAUCUUCUGCUCCUGAGAUUCUCUCUUCCAUCUUCUGUAUUCUGUUGGUGAAGCUUGUAUCUACAGCUCCUUGUCUCUUCUUUUGAUUUUCUAUAUCCAGGGUUGUUUCCAUGUGUUCU